rnacentral:rRNA from 1 species
CCUACGGGACGCAGCAGUAGGGAAUCUUCCACAAUGGACGAAAGUCUGAUGGAGCAACGCCGCGUGAAGGAAGUAGGCUGUCGGGUUGUAAACUUCUGUUAAGGGGGAAGAGCAGAAGACGGUACCCCUUGAAUAAGCCACGGCUAACUACGUGCCAGCAGCCGCGGUAAUACGUAGGUGGCAAGCGUUGUCCGGAUUUACUGGGUGUAAAGGGCGUGCAGCCGGAGAGACAAGUCAGAUGUGAAAUCCACGGGCUCAACCCGUGAACUGCAUUUGAAACUGUUUCCCUUGAGUGUCGGAGAGGUAAUCGGAAUUCCUUGUGUAGCGGUGAAAUGCGUAGAUAUAAGGAAGAACACCAGUGGCGAAGGCGGAUUACUGGACGAUAACUGACGGUGAGGCGCGAAAGCGUGGGGAGCAAACAGGAUUAGAUACCCCGGUAGUC